CCUACGGGAGGCAGCAGUGGGGAAUCUUGCGCAAUGGGCGAAAGCCUGACGCAGCCAUGCCGCGUGAAUGAUGAAGGUCUUAGGAUUGUAAAAUUCUUUCACCGGGGACGAUAAUGACGGUACCCGGAGAAGAAGCCCCGGCUAACUUCGUGCCAGCAGCCGCGGUAAUACGAAGGGGGCUAGCGUUGCUCGGAAUUACUGGGCGUAAAGGGAGCGUAGGCGGAUAGUUUAGUCAGAGGUGAAAGCCCAGGGCUCAACCUUGGAAUUGCCUUUGAUACUGGCUAUCUUGAGUUUGGGAGAGGUGAGUGGAACUCCGAGUGUAGAGGUGAAAUUCGUAGAUAUUCGGAAGAACACCAGUGGCGAAGGCGACUCACUGGCCCAAUACUGACGCUGAGGCUCGAAAGCGUGGGGAGCAAACAGGAUUAGAUACCCUGGUAGUCCACGCCGUAAACGAUGAGUGCUAGUUGUCGGCAUGCAUGCAUGUCGGUGACGCGAGCUACGCAUUAAGUACACUCCGCCGUCGGGGAGGUACGGUCGCGAGAAUUAAACUACGAAGGAAGUUAGUACGGCGNGAGACGUGCCGACGGACGACGACGAGGGAGGAGG
rnacentral:rRNA from 1 species